rnacentral:misc_RNA from 1 species
UGGGGCGUGUGAGUGGUGUUUGGAUCGUCCCUGCCGGCUGGCUCCGUGCCCGUCCACCGAACGGUCGGCAGGCGAUCCGCAUCGGUCACGCUGGGUGGUAUGGUUCCCCAGAGGCCGGUUCUUGUGCUGCCUACCCCUUCAGGGGAAGCGGGCCACUUGAUGUAAGCCUCCAUCCGGCGCCCUCCAACGGGCGCAGGAGGACAACGGAGCACCCCCCGCGUUCCACCGGGCCUCCUUCGGUCGCGUGGCGCGCGGGGACGUGCGAUGCUCUCGGACCCAGCGAACGCCGUGGGCGAGGACUCACGUCCCAGUCCCGAUAGAAGCCUCGAUAUAAUGCAUGACGGCCGCUCCCGCAACCCGACCGCCCCGGCGGCGCGGGGGCGAGGCGCGGCGUCGCGGAGGAAUGCUACCUGGUUGAUCCUGCCAGUAGUCAUAUGCUUGUCUCAAAGAUUAAGCCAU